AUAAUACCGCAUAAUCCCGAGAGGGGAAAGCAGCAUCCCCGAAGAACUCAGUAGGGCCGCGGCCGAUUAGCUAGUUGGCAGGGUAAAAGCCUACCAAGGCAAAGAUCGGUAGCCGGCCUGAGAGGGCACACGGCCACACUGGCACUGAAACACGGGCCAGACUCCUACGGGAGGCAGCAGUGGGGAAUCUUG
rnacentral:rRNA from 1 species